rnacentral:rRNA from 1 species
GUGGGGAAUAUUGGACAAUGGGCGAAAGCCUGAUCCAGCCAUGCCGCGUGUGUGAAGAAGGUCUUCGGAUUGUAAAGCACUUUAAGUUGGGAGGAAGGGCAGUAAGUUAAUACCUUGCUGUUUUGACGUUACCGACAGAAUAAGCACCGGCUAACUUCGUGCCAGCAGCCGCGGUAAUACGAAGGGUGCAAGCGUUAAUCGGAAUUACUGGGCGUAAAGCGCGCGUAGGUGGUUUUGUAAGUUGGAGGUGAAAUCCCCGGGCUCAACCUGGGAACUGCCUCCAAAACUGCAUGACUAGAGUACGGUAGAGGGUAGUGGAAUUUCCUGUGUAGCGGUGAAAUGCGUAGAUAUAGGAAGGAACACCAGUGGCGAAGGCGACUACCUGGACUGUAACUGACACUGAGGCACGAAAGCGUGGGGAGCAAACAGGAUUAGAUACCCGGGUAGUCC